CCUACGGGUGGCAGCAGUAGGGAAUAUUGCUCAAUGGGGGAAACCCUGAAGCAGCAACGCCGCGUGGAGGAAGAAGGUUCUCGGAUUGUAAACUCCUUUUGUUAGAGAAGAUAAUGACGGUAUCUAACGAAUAAGCACCGGCUAACUCCGUGCCAGCAGCCGCGGUAAUACGGAGGGUGCAAGCGUUACUCGGAAUAACUGGGCGUAAAGGGCGCGUAGGCGGGAUAGCAAGUCAGAGGUGAAAGCCUUAGGCUUAACCACAGAACUGCAUUUGAAACUGUUAUUCUAGAGUAUGGGAGCGGUAGGCGGAAUUCUUGGUGUAGGGGUAAAAUGCGUAGAGAUCAAGAGGAACACUCAUUGCGAAGGCGACCUGCUAGAACAUAACUGACGCUGAGGCGCGAAAGCGUGGGGAGCAAACAGGAUUAGAUACCCCUGUAGUC
rnacentral:rRNA from 1 species